AAUUUCUUCAAGGCAAUAGGCUGCGCAAGAGACUGGCAGUUAGGAGCCUCGUGCUCUUGGCUCACUUCAUAGCCAUCUAGUUCUGUGGCCUACCAGUUCUCAUCCUUUGAAUUCUUAGGUUAGACGAGAAGAUACAUGAGAUCUCUAAAUCUUCAGGUUUAAACGUAGAUGUCUUUCACUACACCAGAGUAAAUAGCUUAUUCAAUAUUCAUUUUAUGAUCGUUAUUGGACUUCGGCUUCCUACUGCCUUUCAAAUAGGCCAUCGCAAGAUUUUGUCCAGUAGUAACGCCUUGGAAAGAAGGCCUGCAGUAGAAAAAACACUCCAUUCAUUUUCCAUGGAAUACAUUUGUUUGCCAGCAUUCAUCCUUUAAUGUUCGUGCCCGUCUCCUUAGUGCUUGAUAGAAAGGAUGCACUUCUUAUGUUAGCAAUGCUUGUGGAGCCUUUGUGGUCAUUCUCAGACAUGCACAGAGUGGGGAAAAACAUUGAGUCACCUGGAAUCCACGUUCAGCUGAGGUUGAACCAGCAAUCCUGGAAUCAGGGCACUACGGGUAACCACAUUCUCACUUUACAAAUGAUAACUCACACACCCCAUGGAAGAUCCGGGAAGUCUUCUGAUGCCCCUGCUUUCCAAGACAAUAUGAUGCUUCUCUACAUUCCAUGGACUAUGACAAGUAUAUCAGUCGUCGAAGUGGGUGGUUUAAUGGCAUGAUUAGCUCCAUUUUCUCUUCCUGCAGCAUAGCAAAGUGCAUAAAGCUUGAGCUCUGUG
rnacentral:lncRNA from 1 species